GGGUGAUUAGCUCAGCUGGGAGAGCACCUCCCUUACAAGGAGGGGGUCGGCGGUUCGAUCCAGUCAUCACCCACCA
rnacentral:tRNA from 5 species